GUCAGUAACCCCGCUCUCGUAGACGGAGCUUGUAUGAGCAAUCAUGGAAGCUGUACUGACCAGACCACCCUGAGCGCAAUCGAAGGGUAGCCGUUAUUUGGGUCAUAACACCUGGGAAUGCGACGCUAGUUCCCCGCUCUGUU
rnacentral:sRNA from 17 species